rnacentral:rRNA from 1 species
UACGUAGGGUGCAAGCGUUGUCCGGAAUUAUUGGGCGUAAAGGGCUUGUAGGCGGUUUGUCGCGUCUGCUGUGAAAUUUCGGGGCUCAACCCCGAACUUGCAGUGGGUACGGGCAGACUAGAGUGUGGUAGGGGAGACUGGAAUUCCUGGUGUAGCGGUGAAAUGCGCAGAUAUCAGGAGGAACACCGAUGGCGAAGGCAGGUCUCUGGGCCAUAACUGACGCUGAGAAGCGAAAGCAUGGGGAGCGAACAGG